rnacentral:rRNA from 1 species
GGUUAAGCGACUAAGCGUACACGGUGGAUGCCCUGGCAGUCAGAGGCGAUGAAGGACGUGCUAAUCUGCGAUAAGCGCCGGUAAGGUGAUAUGAACCGUUAUAACCGGCGAUUUCCGAAUGGGGAAACCCAGUGUGAUUCGUCACACUAUCAUUAACUGAAUCCAUAGGUUAAUGAGGCGAACCGGGGGAACUGAAACAUCUAAGUACCCCGAGGAAAAGAAAUCAACCGAGAUUCCCCCAGUAGCGGCGAGCGAACGGGGAGGAGCCCAGAGCCUGAAUCAGCAUGUGUGUUAGUGGAAGCGUCUGGAAAGGCGCGCGAUACAGGGUGACAGCCCCGUACACAAAARYGCAYRUGCUGUGAGCUCGAUGAGUAGGGCGGGACACGUGGUAUCCUGUCUGAAUAUGGGGGGACCAUCCUCCAAGGCUAAAUACUCCUGACUGACCGAUAGUGAACCAGUACCGUGAGGGAAAGGCGAAAAGAACCCCGGCGAGGGGAGUGAAAAAGAACCUGAAACCGUGUACGUACAAGCAGUGGGAGCACCCUUUGGGGUGUGACUGCGUACCUUUUGUAUAAUGGGUCAGCGACUUAUAUUCUGUAGCAAGGUUAACCGUAUAGGGGAGCCGGAGGGAAACCGAGUCUUAACCGGGCGUUAAGUUGCAGGGUAUAGACCCGAAACCCGGUGAUCUAGCCAUGGGCAGGUUGAAGGUUGGGUAACACUAACUGGAGGACCGAACCGACUAAUGUUGAAAAAUUAGCGGAUGACCUGUGGCUGGGGGUGAAAGGCCAAUCAAACCGGGAGAUAGCUGGUUCUCCCCGAAAGCUAUUUAGGUAGCGCCUCGUGAACUCAUCUCCGGGGGUAGAGCACUGUUUCGGCUAGGGGGCCAUCCCGGCUUACCAACCCGAUGCAAACUGCGAAUACCGGAGAAUGUUAUCACGGGAGACACACGGCGGGUGCUAACGUCCGUCGUGAAGAGGGAAACAACCCAGACCGCCAGCUAAGGUCCCAAAGUCAUGGUUAAGUGGGAAACGAUGUGGGAAGGCCCAGACAGCCAGGAUGUUGGCUUAGAAGCAGCCAUCA